rnacentral:rRNA from 1 species
GUGCCAGCAGCCGCGGUAAUUCCAGCUCCAAUAGCGUAUAUUAAAGUUGUUGUGGUUAAAAAGCUCGUAGUUGAACCUUGGGCCUGGCUGGCCGGUCCGCCUCACCGCGUGCACUGGUCCGGCCGGGCCUUUCCCUCUGUGGAACCCCAUACCCUUCACUGGGCGUGGCGGGGAAACAGGACAUUUACUUUGAAAAAAUUAGAGUGCUCCAGGCAGGCCUAUGCUCGAAUACAUUAGCAUGGAAUAAUAAAAUAGGACGCGCGGUUCUAUUUUGUUGGUUUAUAGGACCGCCGUAAUGAUUAAUAGGGACAGUCGGGGGCAUCAGUAUUCAACUGUCAGAGGUGAAAUUCUUGGAUCAGUUGAAGACUAACUACUGCGAAAGCAUUUGCCAAGGAUGUUUUCAUUAAUCAGGAACGAAAGUUAGGGGAUCGAAGACGAUCAGAUACCGUCGUAGUCUUAACCAUAAACUAUGCCGACUAGGGAUCGGACGGUGUUAUUCAUGACCCGUUCGGCACCUUACGAGAAAUCAAGGUGCUUGGGCUCCAGGGGGAGUAUGGUCGCAAGGCUGAAACUUAAAGAAAUUGACGGAAGGGCACCACCAGGGGUGGAGCCUGCGGCUUAAUUUGACUCAACACGGGGAAACUCACCAGGUCCAGACACAAUAAGGAUUGACAGAUUGAGAGCUCUUUCUUGAUUUUGUGGGUGGUGAUGCAUGGCCGUUCUUAGUUGGUGGGGUGACUUGUCUGCUUAAUUGCGAUAACGAACGAGACCUUAACCUGCUAAAUAGCCCGCAUUGCUCCGGCAGUGCGC